CCCUUAGAUGUUCUGGGCUGCACGCGCGCUACACUGAUGCGAUCAACAAGUUUUUCCUAUGUCGAUAGACACGGGUAAUCUUUUGAGCUCGCAUCGUGAUGGGGAUAGAUUAUUGUAAUUAUUAAUCUUCAACGAGGAAUUCCUAGUAGGUGCAAAUCAUCAGUUUGCAUCGAUUACGUCCCUGCCCUUUGUACACACCGCCCGUCGCUGCUACCGAUUGGUUGAUCUGGUGAAUUAUUCGGACUGCCGGCUGAAGGGGUUUCCUCAUCUGCCAGCGGAAAGUCUUGUUAACCCUAUCAACUAGAGGAAGCAGAAGUCGUAACA
rnacentral:rRNA from 1 species